rnacentral:rRNA from 1 species
AUGCCAACACCUCCGGUGACCUUUUGCGAUGCAUUUGACCGCCUGAUCUUGCCGGAGAUGGCUUCCACGAGUUCCGGGCAUGGCAGCCGCGGUGGGCUCGACGGCUGCAAGCGGCGCAACGACGACGAGGCCGACAGCUCCUCCCUCCGUCCUCCCGUGUCGGAAAGGCGCAGGGAGCAGGCGCGCACCCACGACGCGAAGUCCCGCAGUGCCGGAGUGCGGGUCCGUCGCCUCGGGUGGCUCUUUGAUCCGUCCAUCCAGCGCCUCAGGGCGGUCGAGCGCGCCUGGUGGGAGGUGAAGGAGGCUGCCGCCACCGAAGAUGCAGUUGCGGCCGCGCGCCUGCCGGCGCUCCGGGAGGAGUACCAACUCGCCUCAACCCUCUCUGGCACGCUCAUCUACAACACCCUCCACGACAACGAGCCCCCGCCUCGCGAGGACGACUCCGGUGACGACGAUGACUUCAGCGAGGAGUAG